rnacentral:lncRNA from 1 species
GCUCGCCCCCAGGGUCAGAGGAUAAAGGUCCACUGGGAGUCAGCAGUGAGGAAGCCGCCCUGGGGAAAUUAAAAGGGUCAACUUACUUAAUCCAGUGUGCUCCCAGGAAGUAUGUACAGCUGUGUUUUGCUGGAAAGAUGAUGUCUACCUAUGGAUUCAUUACAAUUAAAUUCGUUAUGACUAUGCAAUUGCAAAGUGUGAUGUCAAGCAGGGAAUGAACCAAUUUCAAGCUUCUUAACUCAAAGCGAGGGAUUCUCAGACUGUGAUUUUACAAGAGGAACAGGUGACUCAAGCUACAAAUUUACCUUUUUAAAAAUUGCUUUCUUUAAAAAUUAAAGAUACAUAGAUCACACAAAAUGUUACAUUAAAAAAUAUAA